AUUGAACGCUGGCGGCAGGCCUAACACAUGCAAGUCGAACGGUAACAGGAAGCAGCUUGCUGCUUCGCUGACGAGUGGCGGACGGGUGAGUAAUGUCUGGGAAACUGCCUGAUGGAGGGGGAUAACUACUGGAAACGGUAGCUAAUACCGCAUAACGUCGCAAGACCAAAGAGGGGGACCUUAGGGCCUCUUGCCAUCGGAUGUGCCCAGAUGGGAUUAGCUAGUAGGUGGGGUAACGGCUCACCUAGGCGACGAUCCCUAGCUGGUCUGAGAGGAUGACCAGCCACACUGGAACUGAGACACGGUCCAGACUCCUACGGGAGGCAGCAGUGGGGAAUAUUGCACAAUGGGCGCAAGCCUGAUGCAGCCAUGCCGCGUGUAUGAAGAAGGCCUUCGGGUUGUAAAGUACUUUCAGCGGGGAGGAAGGGAGUAAAGUUAAUACCUUAGCUCAUUGACGUUACCCGCAGAAGAAGCGCCGGCUAACUCCGUG
rnacentral:rRNA from 1 species